rnacentral:miRNA from 1 species
GACGUCGAUAUUCGACGUCAUAAACACCAUCAACUUUGGUGUUUAUGACGUCGAUAUUCGACGUCAUAAACACGAUCAACUUUGGUGUUCAUGAGGUCGAUAUUGGACGUGAUAAACACGAUCAACUUUGGUGUUUAUGACGUCGAUUUUCGACGUC